rnacentral:lncRNA from 1 species
AUGAAAGAACUAUCAGAAUUAAAGUGGUCUGCCAUCUUCAGCCACCAUCUUGGGGUCCAUAUUCUACAGAUCCGCGUCUGCAGAACACAGCUGUGUGGAGACAGGAAGUCAAGAACCAACGGCCAUCUACUUCACCAGCGGGACCACAGGCUCUCCCAAGAUGGCCCAGCACUCUCAGAGCAGCCUUGGAACUGGCUACACCCUCUGUGGAAGGUAUUGGCUAGACCUGAAGUCCUCAGAUGUCAUAAACAACAUGUCCAACACUGGCUGGGUCAAGGCCACCAUUGGCAGUGUGUUUUCUUCCUGGCUUCAAGGAGCCUGUGUCUUUGUGCAUUGGAUGGCCCAGUUUGACACUGACACCUUCCUAGAUGUAAGUCAUGACUUCUAGCUACAUCUCUCCCUUACACAGAAAAAUGAUUCCUCAAGAUACAGGGCUUCUUGGGCUUAUGGAAAUCAUUCCUUUUUAAGAAGCAAAGUUUCCAGGGACUUGGCUUUUGAAAUUUUUUUUUAAAGAUCAGCACCUGAGCUAACAACUGUUGCCAAUCGUCUUUUUUUUUUUUUUCCUUCUUCUUCUUCCCAAAGCCCUCCAGUACAUAGUUGUAUAUUCUAUUUGUGAGUGCCUCUGGUUGUGCUAUGUGGGACACUGCCUCAGCAUGGCCUGAUGAGCAGUGCCAUGUCCGUGCCCAGGAUCCGAACUGGCAAAACCCUGGGCCGCCAAAGCACAGCACACAAACUUAACCACUCAGACAUGGGGCCGGCCCCUGAAUGUACUUAACAGAGUCAAGAGAGAAUAUCCACAACACUCUCAGGCACAAAAUUCACUCUUCUGCUUCAAAUUGUUCACGAUGUGCUAGUGUCGCUAAAUCUGUGGCCGCUUAAGAGUCUAGUUCUAAAUAACAGAAGUCUCAAGUCUAACCAAAUCUUUGGUAUCUGAUUCAGUGAAACAAAGACAAUGCUGAUAAAUCCAAACCGCUGUGCAGAAGAGAAUGAAGCUGGGCUCACCUUUCUCGCAGAGCAGCUCCUUCCAUUCUCCCCUCACCCCAUGCUUCUUGCUUUGUUAAUUCUCAGAACCCAAGAUUCUUGAAACCAGGCAUGCCUCUCCUUCUCAGCCAGAGACAGCUAGAUUGAGGUAUCAGAUGACACCUAUUUCUUUAGCCUUUAGAAAAAUGUGAUUCAGGCCAAUUAUUUUUCAACCAUGAAAAGUCAAUUAAGUUUAACAAAAUAUGUAUUGAUGUGGGGUCGGUGAGCCGAGGAGUCGAAAGAAAGAUUUCUUGGACUCUCAAGAUCUAGCAGUAGUGCUCUUUUAUUUAGAGAAUAGUGUGGGACAGCAUGGGGACAGGGCCCAUGGGCA